UUUAUACGUCGAAUUUUGGUCGCGUCGAAUGCAAUUAAGACAAUAGAUAAUGAGAUGAUAAACCUCGUUAAGCUUCAUUAUCUAUUGUUUGAAUUGCAUUCGACGCGACCGAAAUUCGACGUAUAUA
rnacentral:miRNA from 1 species